rnacentral:rRNA from 1 species
CCUACGGGCGGCUGCAGUGGGGAAUAUUGCACAAUGGGCGGAAGCCUGAUGCAGCAAUGCCGCGUGAGCGAUGAAGCACUUCGGUGCGUAAAGCCCUGUCCUCAGGGAAGAAAAUGACAGUACCUGCGCAAGAAGCCCCGGCUAACUACGUGCCAGCAGCCGCGGUAAUACGUAGGGGGCAAGCGUUAUCCGGAUUUACUGGGCGUAAAGGGUGCGCAGGCGGCGUGGUAAGUCAGAAGUGAAAAGCCUAGGCCCAACCCGUGGAGUGCAUUUGAAACUGUCAAGCUGGAGUGACGGAGAGGAGAGCGGAAUUCCUAGUGUAGCGGUGAAAUGCGUAGAUAUUAGGAGGAACACCAGUGGCGGAGGCGGCUUACUGGACGGUAACUGACGCUGAGGCUCGAAAGCGUGGGGAGCAAACAGGAUUAGAUACCCGAGUAGUC